CUCCCUGUGAAUCUCUCUCCAAUGCCCUAAGCCCAGUCUAGUACAGAGAGGGAAAAGGGGCCUCUGGGGAAAGAAAACCCCACUGAGUGGUACCCAAGGUCCCUUGUCUCCCUGGGGGUCAGGAAUACAUCUUCUCCCUUUUUUGUCUCUGUUGGUGCUCUUUUUCCCCCCUGGAAGAAGACAUGAAGAGAAGUGAAGAGGGGAACCAGUAAGGCAGGGUCUUCGUGGACCCGCAGUCUUUGGAAAUGCGGUGAUAAAUCCACUAAGUCUCUUUAAUGUGUCUUUCGGAAGUUCACACACACACACACAGAGACCAGAACAAGGUGGGGAGCAGAGACGGGGAGACGAUCAUCCUGGCUUCCCUUCUGCCCAGCUGCCCAGGGGUGGGGCGGUGGAAGGGGUAUUUACAGAGUAGGGGACGCGUUUCUUAUCAGGGUGCCCGGUCCUAAAGUGAGACCUUCCAAAUUUCCUUUCAAAAACAACAAAAAGAGAGGUUCUGGAAUUAGCAAGAAAAUAGGCAGAGACCGGGGUGGAGUAGGGCGAAAUGGCACUAGCAAAAAAGGGUGUGAGUGUGGGGCGCGGCUCCCCCGGGGUUAGGCUUGGCCCAGUCGCCUGGACGAGGGGACCGGACUGGGUUCGCUGUCCGCUCCCAGGGCCGCAAACCCCACCACCCGCGGGACUCACCCAGCAGGCGAGAAGAGGGCGGAGCCUGCCGACUCGGAGGCGGGGUUUAGCCCGACUUGGGCGGAGCUAUGGAUGAGGCGGGGCUUCGGGACCAGAGUACUGGCAGAAAGCCUAGACCCAAGGACCUGGGCUGGGAGCGAAGCGUUUAGGGAGGGCUUGGAACUGGGGUGCCCGAGGGCCCGGCGGGUGGCGGGGACCCCGGGAGGCGGCGUCUCUGGGGGUCUGGGUUUUGCAGGGGUUCCUGAGGAGCCGGCUUGGAGCGUGCUCGCCAGGCGAGAGGCUCCGUGGAGGCGGAGUUGAGGAUGCGAGGAAGUCCCGCGGCGCGACCGCAGAGCGCUCCCGGGAGGUCGCCGGGCACAGAGAGGGCCGGGCCGGGGCGUCUUCAGGGGUCCCAGUAGUUCUCGUGGUGCUGCGCGGCGAUGAUGAUGACGACGAGAUAAGCAACUUCUCCAAGCUUCUACCUGCUGAACACAACCAGCACCCUCCUCACGCCUGCCUAAAAGUGACAGAAUAUGCAGAUGGCAUCCCCAGGAGGCAAGAGCCCAGUUUCCUUUCUCCUGGGAGGACGUAGAACCGGAGAGGGCUCGAGACAGACGUUAAAGCAGGUGUGGUCUGCAUGGUCUUUCUGUGCUCCCCUCCCCUCUGUUCCUUACUGGAGAAGACCCUUGGCCGCUGGACAGGGUGAGAUGGUAAUUUGAAGCAAAUAGCCUCCCCAUCUCUUCAAAACUAGAUGUGAAUAAAUUCUUUUUUCCUUUUUACCACAAAACAUGGCCUCCUUUGAUGUGAUCAGCAGAGAGCAAACCGACCCAAGCCUAGGAGAGGCCGAUAACAGUACUGGGGGAUGGCUACAUCUCCUACCUCCUACCCCACUUUUAAAAAUUUCAAAAACAGCCUCACUAAAUUACCCAGGCUGGGCCUGAAUUCUCGAUCUGCUUGUCUCAGCCUUCCAGCGUGCUGGGAUUACAAGCAUCUGCCACCACGCCCGGGCUGGGUGCCUUCGUCCAGGGUUACCGAGCUGAAAUAAGAGGGGAAGGUGCCUAAACCGCGCAUUUCUAGCAGGUUGGUCUGGACACGCACGCCUCUUUGCUUUUGGAUCGGGAGGAAACUUCCUGGGCAGGUCGGUGUUCAUAUCCCUUCCAUGAAUCCUUCUCACCCACCCACCACCGGGAGUCGACCUGAGGCACAGCGCUUAUGGAGCGCACGGUCUUUGGCAUUCUGGAGGCGCGUGGGUGGGGAGAGGGUAGGGACAGGCAAUCUACCGGGAUCUACACCAGUUAGGCUUUUUGCCGAAACACAGCAGAGAUUGCCACCCCCACCCAGCACUCCCAGCCUCCACCCGAGGCCGAGUCCCUGGUGACAAAGGCCUCGCCCGAGCCAGUCCCAGGCCACAAUUUAGGUCGCGGCGUCAUCACCGGUCGUUCUGGUUCUCCGGCGUUUCGCGAUCCCUUACUCCCACCCAUGCGUACUCCACACUUCUGAGCUUGAGUGGGUUUUAUUGGAAAACUAGAGUUCAGACCAAGCAAGAGGCUCAGACCUGCUGGGAAACCCUUUUCUCAAGGGACAAGUCUUUAACUGCUAAGUAAAAGCCCUAACACAAAAGCCCGGGCUGGGGCGGGGAGAGCUCAGGUCGGGAGCCGC
ensembl:lincRNA